rnacentral:rRNA from 1 species
GCAUAUCAAUAAGCGGAGGAAAAGAAACCAACAGGGAUUGCCCUAGUAACGGCGAGUGAAGCGGCAACAGCUCAAAUUUGAAAUCUGGCCCUCGGGUCCGAGUUGUAAUUUGUAGAGGAUGCUUUUGGUGAGGUGCCUUCCGAGUUCCCUGGAACGGGACGCCAUAGAGGGUGAGAGCCCCGUCUGGUUGGAUACCGAGCCUCUGUAAAGCUCCUUCGACGAGUCGAGUAGUUUGGGAAUGCUGCUCUAAAUGGGAGGUAUAUGUCUUCUAAAGCUAAAUACCGGCCAGAGACCGAUAGCGCACAAGUAGAGUGAUCGAAAGAUGAAAAGCACUUUGAAAAGAGAGUUAAAAAGUACGUGAAAUUGUUGAAAGGGAAGCGCUUAUGACCAGACUUGGGCUUGGUUGAUCAUCCUGGGUUCUCCCUGGUGCACUCUUCCAGUUCAGGCCAGCAUCAGUUCGCUGCGGGGGAUAAAAGUUUUGGGAAUGUGGCUCCCUCGGGAGUGUUAUAGCCCAUUGCAUAAUACCCUGCUCCGGACUGAGGUUCGCGCAUCUGCAAGGAUGCUGGCGUAAUGGUCAUCAGCGACCCGUCUUGAAACACGGACCAAGGAGUCGUCUUCGUAUGCGAGUGUUCGGGUGUUAAACCCCUACGCGUAAUGAAAGUGAACGCAGGUGAGAGCUUCGGCGCAUCAUCGACCGAUCCUGAUGUUCUCGGAUGGAUUUGAGUAAGAGCAUACGGGGCCGGACCCGAAAGAAGGUGAACUAUGCCUGUAUAGGGUGAAGCCAGAGGAAACUCUGGUGGAGGCUCGCAGCGGUUCUGACGUGCAAAUCGAUCGUCAAAUAUGGGCAUGGGGGCGAAAGACUAAUCGAACCUUCUAGUAGCUGGUUUCCGCCGAU